AGAGCGAACGCUGGCGGCAGGCCUAAUACAUGCAAGUCGAGCGAGAACCAGGGCUUCGGCUCUGGGGACAGCGGCGAACGGGUGAGUAACACGUGGGUAAUCAACCCCCGACACCGGGAUAGCCCAGGGAAACUUGGAUUAAUACCGGAUGCUCCGUCUGGCUUUAGGGCCGGCCGGAAAAGGGUAGCUUCGGCCUCCGGUCGGGGACGAGCCCGCGGCGGAUUAGCUUGUUGGUGAGGUAAAGGCUCACCAAGGCGACAAUCCGUAGCUGGUCUGAGAGGACGAUCAGCCACACUGGGACUGAGACACGGCCCAGACUCCUACGGGAGGCAGCAGUAGGGAAUCUUGCGCAAUGGGCGAAAGCCUGACGCAGCGACGCCGCGUGAGGGAAGAAGGCCUUCGGGUUGUAAACCUCUUUCAGGAGGGACGAAGCCACUCGGGUUAAUAGCCUAGAGGGUGACGGUACCUCCAGAAGAAGCCCGGCUAACUACGUGCCAGCAGCCGCGGU
rnacentral:rRNA from 1 species